rnacentral:rRNA from 1 species
UACGUAGGGGGCAAGCGUUAUCCGGAUUUACUGGGUGUAAAGGGAGCGUAGACGGCUUUGCAAGCCAGAUGUGAAAGCCCGGGGCUCAACCCCGGGACUGCAUUUGGAACUGUGUGGCUAGAGUGUCGGAGAGGCAGGCGGAAUUCCUAGUGUAGCGGUGAAAUGCGUAGAUAUAUGGAGGAACACCGGUGGCGAAAGCGGCUCUCUGGCCUGUAACUGACACUGAGGCUCGAAAGCGUGGGGAUCAAACAGG